GUGGCGGAUGACGGUACCGGAAGAAUAAGCACCGGCUAACUACGUGCCAGCAGCCGCGGUAAUACGUAGGGUGCAAGCGUUAAUCGGAAUUACUGGGCGUAAAGCGUGCGCAGGCGGUUCGCUAAGACAGAUGUGAAAUCCCCGGGCUUAACCUGGGAACUGCAUUUGUGACUGGCGGGCUAGAGUAUGGCAGAGGGGGGUAGAAUUCCACGUGUAGCAGUGAAAUGCGUAGAGAUGUGGAGGAAUACCGAUGGCGAAGGCAGCCCCCUGGGCCAAUACUGACGCUCAUGCACGAAAGCGUGGGGAGCAAACAGGAUUAGAUACCCUGGUAGUCCACGCCCUAAACGAUGUCAACUAGUUGUCGGGUCUUCAUUGACUUGGUAACGUAGCUAACGCGUGAAGUUGACCGCCUGGGGAG
rnacentral:rRNA from 1 species